AAAGGGGGGGGGAGGAUCUUGCUUCAUGAAAAGCUUUAAUAGCGUCGAAGGGUAGCUUAUUGGGAAGCAAGGCGUAUAUAUAUUUAUCUCGAGUUCAAUGCCUACUCCGGUAGUUUGAUCUAAGCCUUUAAAUGUUUUUAACAUGGUAAAAAAGAAAAAGAAAAACUUGGUAGCACUUUCACAUUCUCACUCUGCAGCCACAAAAACUAUUGCAAGACAGGUUCGACUGGGGAAUGGUGUUUAGCUUUGAACCCUGCGAUUUCUGCUAAAGCUUGAGGGAUGCUUGGAUGGGGGCAACAAUAUAUAAGCCAAGAGUAUGGACGGAAGUCAUGAAGUAAUUUCUCAUUGAAGACAUUUCUAGAUAUGAAUUCUACAAGCAUGUCAGAUCAAUAACUGUUGAGACAUCUGCAAAUCUUUAAUUGAAUAUUUUGAACAUUCCUAGGGGGAAAAUUGGGGAUGUUGGCAGAUACUAGAAAGUUGAUAUCGUUAAUGAACAAUUAAUUAUAUGUAAUAUUGAUGAUUAUGCUACAUAGGAUUUGUAUUGGGAUGGAAAAUUCAUAGAUGGAACUCUUGAUUGUGAUUGCUGUCUCUUAACCUGAAAGUAGUUUCAAAAAAUACGUUUAAAUUGGCUAUAUAAUGUCACAAAAUAUAGACACUGUCCAUUUACUCCUUUUAUAUUUCUCUUUUCCUCAACAAGGAGAGAUUGAUUUAUGUCAAUGGUUGGCAUGCAUGGUUGCAGUUGAUGCGGGAAUGUCAGUGGGGAUCAAUAAAGACUUCCAUAAAAUACAUUUGUACAGCUCCUAUGUUCAUACUGCAUGAUUUUGUUAAAGGGCUAUGCAAUUCUCUCUCACAUAGCAAAAAUUGUUCAGGGACGGGGUCUUGGUGAAGUGUGAAAUAUAAGGUGAAGUUCAAGUGAAAUUCCAUAUCACAGGUGUUCCCAGCUCAACUCUUUCAUUUACAAGACUGGAUGAUGUGAGAUUUCAUCCCAGUGUUCGGUUUCAACCUUGUGAGUCCCAUCUGAUCAUCUCUGGUCUCUUAAUUGUACUUAUAUGUGCUUGCAUCUGAUGCUGAGACAUGUUGUAUCAAUCUGAUGGUUGGAAUAAAAAAUGACCUUCGAAGAUGUUUGACUCAAUAACUAUGCAGUUUCAACUGCCUCCUUCCAAUUUAUCAGCUGAUCUGACUUCAAAUCAUGGAGCAGUGAAUAUCCUAUCUAAUGUAGUAAUCCUUGUAUUCUAUCCUUCUAAUAUGUAUAGAACUCUCACAGUUCAUGUCUCCUUUGAAGAUAUCAUGACUUCA